GUAGGCAGCGAGCGUUGUUCGGAAUUACUGGGCGUAAAGAGUGUGUAGGCGGUGUUCCCAGUCUGUUGUGAAAUCUCCCGGCUUAACUGGGAGGGUGCAGCGGAAACUAGAAUGCUAGAGGGUGGGAGAGGUAAGCGGAAUUCCUGGUGUAGCGGUGAAAUGCGUAGAUAUCAGGAGGAACACCUGUGGUGUAGACAGCUUACUGGACCACUUCUGACGCUGAGACACGAAAGCGUGGGUAGCAAACAGGAUUAGAUACCCUGGUAGUCCACGCCCCAAACGAUGCAUACUUGGUGUGAGCGAUUCAUUUCGUUCGUGCCGGAGCUAACGCGUUAAGUAUGCCGCCUGGGGAGUACGGUCGCAAGGCUG
rnacentral:rRNA from 1 species